AGAAGCUGUAGAGAGGAAAUGUGCAGAUCAACAGGAAACAAACAAUCCCCACACAGAGGCACAAAGUGCGUGACUCACAGGGCAGAAGUUGACGCCCCCUCACUGUUUCCUUUUCAGACCAAACAGUGUCAGAAGGUGGGCGUCCUCAGAGCUUCCAAGGAAUACCUGGUAGUGCUUACGUGAAAGGAGUAUGCAGACAGUGCAGGCUGUUCAGUUCCUUUAGUGCUCUCUCAGAAGGUAAUUGUAAGAGUUCCAGCCACAUUUUAUGGAUUGUUUAACUAGCAUUCAUGGCAGGAUGAGACUAAGGAGAGGGACAGAGGAAGGUGGCAGCAUUGCCCUCCCCAGCCUUUGCCUCAUGCUGGAAUGUCCUUACGUCAAGACCACUGGAGCUUGAGGGGCACCCUGAGAGAAAUGAGUCCUUGGAAGCAGGCAUGAUCACGUAUUGGUAAUACAUGGAGGAGAGAGAGCUCACCCUGUGAAGUUUCACUUUGGUACUUGCUGGACAGACUGCUGCCACGCCAGCUGGCUAGGUUGCUCUCUCCUGUUUCUGUGGCUCAGGGAACAUCAUGGAAGAGGAAGAAGAAGAACCAAAAUACCAGGAAGUCUGCUGUGAAACAGUCUCUCCUAGAAAUGGCUGCACAGACAAGACCAAACAGUAUCAAUGGACAUGUUUACAGGGAAGGGGGCGUUUCUUGGGGUUCCAUCUCCAAACAAAGAACUAGAGGCAACUGCUGAGUGCUGGGAGGAGAAUUAGCCUCUCCCAGGGACGAACCCCCAUAUUGGUAUCCAAUACAGAGUGGUCAUCUUGAAACCAUGUGCACACCACAGACAAAAACAGACCCAGCAGGUUUAUUUGUAUCUAUUUUUGUAUAGACAUCUGUGCAUGUAUGUAACAAUAACCCAAGAAAAAGAGGCUGUUCACUGGAGAGUGGGGUGCCAAGGGAGAGGUUUGAGGGCAAGUAGCCAGGUGGAGCUGGAGGGAGGAAUGGGAGAUGGGGAAAGUAGUGUAAUUUUAUUACAACUGGAAACAUUUAAAAAGAAAAAUAAGUUUCCCUUUGUUACUAUGUCAGGACCUAACUUAUGAAUAUAUUGUUAGUUUUAUGAAAUUGAGAGCCUACUCUUUGGUGCAUAUUUACAACAGUUCUAUCCUCUUGAUAAAUGUAUUGACAUGUGGUGGCUUUAUCUCUUCUACCUAGCUUUGGACUGACAUGUACUGUCUGGGAUAUGAGUGGACAGAAGCUCAUGUUUCCCUUUCACUUGAUAGCUGAGUUUUAGCUUUUGACUCUCAGGGUUUGAAUAUCUUUGCUCAGUGCAGUUCUCAGAGACAAGAGCUAGGGAGACCUCAGUUUUCAUUCCAGUCAGUCACUUUGUGCCUUUUAUUUGGUGAAUGGAAGCAUUUACUUUUAACACUACUAUUGAGAUGGACUUGCUAUUUCCUGUGGGCUUUGUUUGUCUGUUUUGUUCUUGGUUAUUUGGAUAAUUGGUAGCUAUUUUUCUUCUUUCCCUUUUAGUAUUCGAGGUUUACUGCAUUGGAAAUUAUGGACUUCUACUCAAGGCUCUUCUAUCCACUUAUCCCUUUCAAAAACGUAGUCUUUCUUAUUCUGUUGUAUAUGAAACCAUCUUUCUUCUUUCUCUGUGAAUUUCUCUUUAAAUAUCUUCUUCAGUGCUGGCUCUUUUUUCAUAAAGAACCCUUUUGUGCUUGUUUCUUAAUAUUUUUAUUCUUUAAUAAUUUAAGGGAUUUCUUUUCUGUGUCUAAUAAUCUCUGUUGACAGAGCUUGAGAUAUAUUUUUCCAUGACUUCCUGACUCUUAGGAUUGCUGAUGGGAGAUCUUAUGAUAUUAUAAUGGAUUUCUCUUAUAGGUGAAUUGGUGUUUUCCUUAUAGUUUUGAGUAUUGUUUCUUUUUUUC
ensembl:lncRNA